rnacentral:rRNA from 1 species
GACGAACGCUGGCGGCGUGCUUAACACAUGCAAGUCGAGCGGUAAGGCCCUUUCGGGGUACGACGAGCGGCGAACGGGUGAGUAACACGUGGGUGACCUGCCCUCAGCUCUGGGAUAAGCCUGGGAAACCGGGUCUAAUACCGGAUAUGACUCCAUGACGCAUGUUGUGGGGUGGAAAGCCUUGUGCGGCUGAGGAUGGGCCCGCGGCCUAUCAGCUUGUUGGUGGGGUGAUGGCCUACCAAGGCGACGACGGGUAGCCGGCCUGAGAGGGCGACCGGCCACACUGGGACUGAGACACGGCUCAGACUCCUACGGGAGGCAGCAGUGGGGAAUCUUGCGCAAUGGGCGAAAGCCUGACGCAGCGACGCCGCGUGA